rnacentral:rRNA from 1 species
AUUGAACGCUGGCGGCAGGCUUAACACAUGCAAGUCGAACGAGUGGCGGACGGGUGAGUAAUGUCUGGGAAACUGCCUGAUGGAGGGGGAUAACUACUGGAAACGGUAGCUAAUACCGCAUACCAUCAGAUGUGCCCAGAUGGGAUUAGCUUGUUGGUGGGGUAAUGGCUCACCAAGGCGACGAUCCCUAGCUGGUCUGAGAGGAUGACCAGCCACACGGGAACUGAGACACGGUCCAGACUCCUACGGGAGGCAGCAGUGGGGAAUAUUGCACAAGGGGCGCAAGCCUGAUGCAGCCAUGCCGCGUGUAUGAAGAAGGCCUUCGGGUUGUAAAGCACUUUCAGCGAGGAGGCGUUACCCGCAGAAGAAGCACCGGCUAACUCCGUGCCAGCAGCCGCGGUAAUUC